AACGAACGCUGGCGGCAUGCCUAACACAUGCAAGUCGAACGGGUACCUUCGGGUGCUAGUGGCGCACGGGUGCGUAACGCGUGGGAAUCUGCCCUUGGGUUCGGAAUAACUCAGCGAAAGCUGUGCUAAUACCGGAUGAUGUCGAAAGACCAAAGAUUUAUCGCCCGAGGAUGCGCCCGCGUUGGAUUAGCUAGUUGGUGGGGUAAAGGCCUACCAAGGCGACGAUCCAUAGCUGGUCUGAGAGGAUGAUCAGCCACACUGGGACUGAGACACGGCCCAGAAUCCUACGGGAGGCAGCAGUGGGGAAUAUUGGACAAUGGGCGAAAGCCUGAUCCAGCAAUGCCGCGUGAGUGAUGAAGGCCUUAGGGUUGUAAAGCUCUUUUACCCGGGAUGAUAAUGACAGUACCGGGAGAAUAAGCGCCGGCUAACUCCGUG
rnacentral:rRNA from 1 species